CCACGGACCGUGCAACCA
rnacentral:rRNA from 1 species